rnacentral:lncRNA from 1 species
GCAGGAGGCUGGAAAGGCUGCCCAGGAAGGCGGGGCCCAUCCCUUCCUCCCAGCCCCGCUCCCACCUCAAGCUCUUUCUUCCUGUAUUUACAGCAGCACUGGGCUUAUUUACAGCACGGCGCUAUGUGUUAAAAACGGUUUAUCUUACAAAAAACAUAAAGGCCGGGGCCAGGCUGGGGGGGAUAAGACAAAUCGUGGGGUCACCCCCAUGAAGGCAUCCCCCUCCCCAAGGGCUUGAGCUCCCUGCAAACCUCCUGGAGCAGGUGAGAAGGUGGAGUCAUUCUGCAGCUCAAGCCCAGGCUUGGGGGUGCUCUGGGGGUCCGUGGACUAAAGGCACAUGGGGUGGCAUAUGAGAGUGCGCAUGUGCACACGUGUUCCCAGGCCCCUAAAACUGCUGCCCCUGACCACCCCUCAUGCUCUGCUGGCACUUCACAAAAGCGCAUUCACAUGUUGGCCAUUAGUAAGCAUCGUCACAAGUCUGAGAAGCAGUAACCCUCAUUAUCCUCAUACUCCAAGUGAGAACCCGAGGCCCAGGAGGCUAA